CGACGUAGGGCGCAAGCGUUGUCCGGAAUUUAUUGGGCGUAAAGAGCUCGUAGGCGGUCUGUUACGUCUCUGUGAAAACCCGGGGCUUAACCCUGGGCUUGCAGUGGAUACGGGCAGACUAGAGCAGGUAGGGAGGAAUGAAUUCCGGAUCGUAGCGGUGAAAUGCGCAGAUAUCGGGAGGAACACCGGUGGCGAAGGCGGUUCUCUGGGCCUGACCUGACGCUGAGGAGCGAAAGCGUGGGGAGCGAACAGG
rnacentral:rRNA from 1 species